rnacentral:rRNA from 1 species
GAUGAACGCUGGCGGCGUGCCUAAUACAUGCAAGUCGAGCGAACGGACGAGAAGCUUGCUUCUCUGAUGUUAGCGGCGGACGGGUGAGUAAAACGUGGAUAACCUACCUAUAAGACUGGGAUAACUUCGGGAAACCGGAGCUAAUACCGGAUAAUAUUUUGAACCGCAUGGUUCAAAAGUGAAAGACGGUCUUGCUGUCACUUAUAGAUGGAUCCGCGCUGCAUUAGCUAGUUGGUAAGGUAACGGCUUACCAAGGCAACGAUGCAUAGCCGACCUGAGAGGGUGAUCGGCCACACUGGAACUGAGACACGGUCCAGACUCCUACGGGAGGCAGCAGUAGGGAAUCUUCCGCAAUGGGCGAAAGCCUGACGGAGCAACGCCGCGUGAGUGAUGAAGGUCUUCGGAUAGUAAAACUCUGUUAUUAGGGAAGAACAUAUGUGUAAGUAACUGUGCACAUCUUGACGGUACCUAAUCAGAAAGCCACGGCUAACUACGUG